AUAAUCUUAUCAUAGCUAUGAUACGUGUAUUUAUCUUUACAAUAUUUUUCAGGCUUUAUAUAACUCGAAAUAUUGUGCUAAAAUAUACUAAUUUUGUUUCAGAUAUGAAAUUUUAGGCAUUUAAAUACAAAACAAAUCAUUCUACCAAAGCUUUAAAAAAUUUAGAUGGCAGGACUUCGAUCCGAUCUGCGGCGAUCGACGAUCACAUAUGAAACAAAAAGGCUUUAGAUGUAGCUGUAGCGGAAUUUCCAUAAAACGAGAGCGGCGAUCGACAACAUACUUGAGGUGCGGUAGAGAUCGAGGGCUGCGGGGAGAGGUGCGGAGAUCUACGACAGCAGAGAGGAGCGUAGAGACGAGAUCGACAGCGGAACGGGGCGAGGUGCGGAGAUCUACGACAUACCCGAGGUGCGGUAGAGAUCGAGGGCUGCGGGGCGAGGUGCGGAGAUCUACGACAGCAGAGAGGAGCGUAGAGACGAGAUCGACAGCGGAACGGGGCGAGGUGCGGAGAUCU